rnacentral:misc_RNA from 1 species
GAGGGUCGUAAAGGCCUCCUACUGCUCUUAACCAACCCGCGUACUAGCUGGAAAUCAUGUCUCUGCCUCGGCGGCGGCCCCAGGGGGGGCCAGCAGCCCGCCUGGCCGCUCUCGCGGCGAGGCCGGGUGCUGCCGGUGGCACACAAACCAGACAACAUUGCUACAAUAGUUAAUUACAAACCUAUUA